UGGAGGCGCCAAUAAGGUGUUGCAUGUCCGUGGACACCAGACUGUGGCCAGUCUCCUGGUUAGUCUGGCAUGUGACAGGGUUUUGGUAAAGGUCUGAGGCACUUACUUCAGUCUGGCAUGAUAUUCUUCACCUUCAAUCCCAGACUUGCACAAUGUGGCCGAAUAAUGGAACUUUGGAACAGAGAAGACACACUCUGUUGGCACUGGCCUCUGGGUACUUGUCAGUCAUCCUUGAGGCAUCGUUUAGCUUCUCAUUUUGAAGGGAAAAAGCGAAGGAGAUAUGUAUCCCAUCAACUGCGAUAUUUUUUGAGAAGCUGGGAGCAGUAGUAAAGCUGAGUUGCUUGAAAGCGGCGGUCUCUUUCUUGCGGCUUUUUUGAAGGUGAGAUCUUGAGGGGCUUCUGCCCUUGGCUUCAAUGAUUGCUGAGCAAGUUUAGGAAGGGCCUCAUGAAACUUCCGGAUGGAUUUCUGUAGAGGAAAUCAUUUUACGUGAACAACCUGUCUUGGGAA